rnacentral:rRNA from 1 species
UUAAGCGACUAAGCGUACACGGUGGAUGCCCUGGCAGUCAGAGGCGAUGAAGGACGUGCUAAUCUGCGAUAAGCGUCGGUGAGGUGAUAUGAACCGUUAUAACCGGCGAUUUCCGAAUGGGGAAACCCAGUGUGUUUCGACACACUAUCAUUAACUGAAUCCAUAGGUUAAUGAGGCGAACCGGGGGAACUGAAACAUCUAAGUACCCCGAGGAAAAGAAAUCAACCGAGAUUCCCCCAGUAGCGGCGAGCGAACGGGGAGGAGCCCAGAGCCUGAAUCAGUGUGUGUGUUAGUGGAAGCGUCUGGAAAGGCGCGCGAUACAGGGUGACAGCCCCGUACACAAAAAUGCACAUGCUGUGAGCUCGAUGAGUAGGGCGGGACACGUGGUAUCCUGUCUGAAUAUGGGGGGACCAUCCUCCAAGGCUAAAUACUCCUGACUGACCGAUAGUGAACCAGUACCGUGAGGGAAAGGCGAAAAGAACCCCGGCGAGGGGAGUGAAAAAGAACCUGAAACCGUGUACGUACAAGCAGUGGGAGCCUCUUUAUGGGGUGACUGCGUACCUUUUGUAUAAUGGGUCAGCGACUUAUAUUCUGUAGCAAGGUUAACCGAAUAGGGGAGCCGAAGGGAAACCGAGUCUUAACUGGGCGUUAAGUUGCAGGGUAUAGACCCGAAACCCGGUGAUCUAGCCAUGGGCAGGUUGAAGGUUGGGUAACACUAACUGGAGGACCGAACCGACUAAUGUUGAAAAAUUAGCGGAUGACUUGUGGCUGGGGGUGAAAGGCCAAUCAAACCGGGAGAUAGCUGGUUCUCCCCGAAAGCUAUUUAGGUAGCGCCUCGUGAAUUCAUCUCCGGGGGUAGAGCACUGUUUCGGCAAGGGGGUCAUCCCGACUUACCAACCCGAUGCAAACUGCGAAUACCGGAGAAUGUUAUCACGGGAGACACACGGCGGGUGCUAACGUCCGUCGUGAAGAGGGAAACAACCCAGACCGCCAGCUAAGGUCCCAAAGUCAUGGUUAAGUGGGAAACGAUGUGGGAAGGCCCAGACAGCCAGGAUGUUGGCUUAGAAGCAGCCAUCAUUUAAAGAAAGCGUAAUAGCUCACUGGUCGAGUCGGCCUGCGCGGAAGAUGUAACGGGGCUAAACCAUGCACCGAAGCUGCGGCAGCGACGCUUAUGCGUUGUUGGGUAGGGGAGCGUUCUGUAAGCCUGUGAAGGUGUGCUGUGAGGCAUGCUGGAGGUAUCAGAAGUGCGAAUGCUGACAUAAGUAACGAUAAAGCGGGUGAAAAGCCCGCUCGCCGGAAGACCAAGGGUUCCUGUCCAACGUUAAUCGGGGCAGGGUGAGUCGACCCCUAAGGCGAGGCCGAAAGGCGUAGUCGAUGGGAAACAGGUUAAUAUUCCUGUACUUGGUGUUACUGCGAAGGGGGGACGGAGAAGGCUAUGUUGGCCGGGCGACGGUUGUCCCGGUUUAAGCGUGUAGGCUGAUUUUCCAGGCAAAUCCGGAAAAUCAAGGCUGAGGCGUGAUGACGAGGCACUACGGUGCUGAAGCAACAAAUGCCCUGCUUCCAGGAAAAGCCUCUAAGCAUCAGGUAACAUCAAAUCGUACCCCAAACCGACACAGGUGGUCAGGUAGAGAAUACCAAGGCGCUUGAGAGAACUCGGGUGAAGGAACUAGGCAAAAUGGUGCCGUAACUUCGGGAGAAGGCACGCUGAUAUGUAGGUGAAGCGACUUGCUCGUGGAGCUGAAAUCAGUCGAAGAUACCAGCUGGCUGCAACUGUUUAUUAAAAACACAGCACUGUGCAAACACGAAAGUGGACGUAUACGGUGUGACGCCUGCCCGGUGCCGGAAGGUUAAUUGAUGGGGUUAGCGGCAACGCGAAGCUCUUGAUCGAAGCCCCGGUAAACGGCGGCCGUAACUAUAACGGUCCUAAGGUAGCGAAAUUCCUUGUCGGGUAAGUUCCGACCUGCACGAAUGGCGUAAUGAUGGCCAGGCUGUCUCCACCCGAGACUCAGUGAAAUUGAACUCGCUGUGAAGAUGCAGUGUACCCGCGGCAAGACGGAAAGACCCCGUGAACCUUUACUAUAGCUUGACACUGAACAUUGAGCCUUGAUGUGUAGGAUAGGUGGGAGGCUUUGAAGUGUGGACGCCAGUCUGCAUGGAGCCGACCUUGAAAUACCACCCUUUAAUGUUUGAUGUUCUAACGUUGGCCCGUAAUCCGGGUUGCGGACAGUGUCUGGUGGGUAGUUUGACUGGGGCGGUCUCCUCCUAAAGAGUAACGGAGGAGCACGAAGGUUGGCUAAUCCUGGUCGGACAUCAGGAGGUUAGUGCAAUGGCAUAAGCCAGCUUGACUGCGAGCGUGACGGCGCGAGCAGGUGCGAAAGCAGGUCAUAGUGAUCCGGUGGUUCUGAAUGGAAGGGCCAUCGCUCAACGGAUAAAAGGUACUCCGGGGAUAACAGGCUGAUACCGCCCAAGAGUUCAUAUCGACGGCGGUGUUUGGCACCUCGAUGUCGGCUCAUCACAUCCUGGGGCUGAAGUAGGUCCCAAGGGUAUGGCUGUUCGCCAUUUAAAGUGGUACGCGAGCUGGGUUUAGAACGUCGUGAGACAGUUCGGUCCCUAUCUGCCGUGGGCGCUGGAGAACUGAGGGGGGCUGCUCCUAGUACGAGAGGACCGGAGUGGACGCAUCACUGGUGUUCGGGUUGUCAUGCCAAUGGCACUGCCCGGUAGCUAAAUGCGGAAGAGAUAAGUGCUGAAAGCAUCUAAGCACGAAACUUGCCCCGAGAUGAGUUCUCCCUGACUCCUUGAGAGUCCUGAAGGAACGUUGAAGACGACGACGUUGAUAGGCCGGGUGUGUAAGCGCAGCGAUGCGUUGAGCUAACCGGUACUAAUGAACCGUGAGGCUUAACCUU